UACGGAGGGGGCUAGCGUUGUUCGGAAUUACUGGGCGUAAAGCGCACGUAGGCGGCUUGGUAAGUUAGAGGUGAAAGCCUGGAGCUCAACUCCAGAAUUGCCUUUAAGACUGCCGAGCUAGCAGGUGAGAGAGGUGAGUGGAAUUCCGAGUGUAGAGGUGAAAUUCGUAGAUAUUCGGAAGAACACCAGUGGCGAAGGCGGCUCACUGGCUCAUACUGGACGCUGAGGUGCGAAAGCGCGGGGAGCAAACAGG
rnacentral:rRNA from 1 species